CACAUAGUGGCUGAGCCCAUUAGCAGAGCUCUGCUGGCUUGUGAGCAUUGUGUUUUCCGUUACAGAUACUCUGCCUUCUUGGAUUAUGAGUCAUAGGAAUUACAGGAAAAGGCCAUGGGACAUUUCAGAUAUGAUGCAGAUUCAAGUUACAGAUUUGGCACAAUGGAACUGAACAGGACCCAAAGCUACAGGUUGUAUGACACCAUAUGAAACAGGCCAUGAUUGAUGUCCAGUGUAACCAUGAACUUGUUCUUAGGUAACUAGACUAGAGUGCUAAGGAACUGUGCUGUCCUUCCAGAUGAGUUAAUGGACUUCUUGUUUUAUCACCUUUCAGAGUUGCUGGGGCCCACUGAAGCCAGGAGUUAUCCUAUAGAUUAUAGCAACAGGAUUUCCUGCCAUUCCCAAAUAAAUCUUAAAAAGUGAUGUACUUGACCACUGUCCCCUCUGGGGUAUCAGAUCAAGUGUCUGUGAAGCCAUCUGAAAGUCAAAUAAACUAGACAACUUGCCCAGAGCUGUGAUGGACAUGAUCUCCCAGAAGACAAACAUCCUCUUUGGGAAAUAUCACUCAAAAUGUGGUUCCACCAAGGACUGCCAAUCAUAAAACUCCCCACUCUGUCUGCAUGCUUUAGCAAACGGGAAGCUGAUGUGGUCCAAAUUAGGCUGAUAGACUCUCAUCUCUUUGACCACAUCCAUCGCUCCAGGAUAUGCUUUUAAAACUUUAGUUGUGGAGAAACUCUUUGUGAAGUCAACUUCAUAGUGAAAGCUGAGCAACUCUUGGCCAGCCAGAUGUCAUUAGCAACAUUAAGUCCAUAAAAUUAAUAUAGAAUUAAUAUUGGACCCAUGUUAAUAAUGGUGCUAUACAAUAGCAUUAUGCGAUUAAUGUAUUGCCUCAAUAUAUUACAAUAAGACUCUGGUAUAAGCAGUGUCUCGAUUUAAAUGAUAGAAGCUAAGUGUAGAAAUCUUUAAGCAUUAAGACAAGAACUUCAAGGGGAGGAAAGAGAUCAGAGAAAGCUGGCCUUGCUGGUCUCUCAGAUCACAGGAUACAGAUGUCAGCAGCCUUUUCCUCAUGCUGGAGCCUACCCUCAUCUUCACAACUCAUGUAUCUCUUUGCUGGGCAAACUGAGCAAUCAAUCUUGAGGCCACUCAAGUAAGCAAAUGCACACAAACAGGAAAGCUAUUGUGUGUGUGUGCAGGUACUGCAUCCCCAUGUAGGCCAUCCUUCUGUUCAUUUGGAUCUCAUCAGACUUGCAUAAUUUCUACUACUCUCCUUUGAGACACUAUAUUGUCUUGGGCAUUUUGUAAAGCUUUUAAAUGUAUAAAUAUAUAUGUAUUUUAUUUGUGGAAAGAAGGAGUUGGAAAGAACCCAACACCUUUACUGAAUAUUGUAAUUGUUGUGGGAGGAAAAAAAUCAAUUCAGAGGGAAGAAUCCUGUUCUAUUGCAUUUCUCAUCCCCAGAGUGGCUUAUGGUGGACAUAAUGGCUGGACAUUAGCUCUUGCCUACUAACAGAUGCAAUUAAAUGGACCCCAGACAAAACAAACAAGUUAAUGGCAGUCUAUUUAUAGGUCACUUUGUUCUUUCCUGCUAGAAAUAGCUUGCCCCCUGGGCAUGGGACAAGUGCUUGUAUCACCUGAGAAAGUGUCACUCUUUUCUCUUUAGCAUCAGGAGCCCCUGGUAAGUGUUAGCGUUAAUGGGAACCUCCUACCACACCUCACCCACACCCAGGUACUGAGAGUGGUGAGGGUGUGCUUAUUGGUUUUAAAGUGGGCCACUGGGCCUCUGCUCUCCUCCUAUUUCCCCCAGAGGCAAAUGAGUGAGUUUAAAAAACAAACACUGGCUAGGCAUUGGUGGCACAUGCCUUUAAUCCCAGCACUCAGGAGGCAGAGGCAGGCGGAUCUCUGUGAGUUAGAGGCCAGCCUGUCUCCAAAGAGAGUGCCAGGAUAGGCUCCAAAGCUACACAGAGAAGCCCUGUCUCAAAAAACCAACCAACCAACCAACCAACCAACAAACAAACAAAAACUGGAAUUGUUCAUUUUGAUACAUUUUUAGAUUAGGAUAAGUCAUGGCUUUCCAUUAUAGUUUGGAAUGUUAUAGUCCUAAUGUUACCUGAAUUAUCCUCUGAACUUGGUAUUCCUGUAGAUCAGAGACCCAUAAAGAAGAUUCCUUAUUGCCCAGCCUGUGAGAAAAAAAUAAAAUGCUCUCAAUUCAGUGUUCUAAC
ensembl:lncRNA